ensembl:lncRNA
GUGUGUGUGUGUGUGUGUGUGUGUGUCCAUUAGAGGGAGAAAGACAGGGGUAGGGUGUGUGUCCAUAUCAGAUGCGCUGCGAAACACACCAAGUCCACACACCUGGCCGGCUAAAGCACACUUAUCCAUUAUUAGGUUACACGUCUCCCUCACAACCCCGUCAGGCUCUUUUCAGUCUGUCAGAUAAACAUAUACUCACACUCUCACACACACAUACAACACCCAAGGUCUGCCCAUCACCAAUCCACUUAAUCACAAUACUAUUGUGUGUGUGUGUGUGUGUGUGUGUGUGUGUGAUGACAGAAAAAGGGAAGAGAGAGGAGAGGCAAUCCUGACCACUGACUCAGCCAUCUGUGACCGAGAAUGCUGCUCACACACACACACACACACUCACACACACCACUCAGGACAUGGAGCAAAUACUGCACAGAAAGUUCUAGAACUCCCCCAGACAUUAGAAGUUCUUUAACACUUGGGAAAAUACUCAGAUGUUUUGACAACACAGAACCCGAAAACUUAGGUUUUGAAACAUGGACAGAGUAAGACUAUUACACCAACACUAACACAUUAUUACACCAACACCAACUCAGAUUAUUACACCAACACUAACACAGACUAUUCCACCAACACUAACACAUAUUAUUACACCAACACCAACUCAGAUUAUUACACCAACUCAGAUUAUUACACCAACACCAACUCAGAUUAUUACACCAACACCAACUCAGAUUAUUACACCAACACUAACACAUAUUAUUACACCAACACCAACUCAGAUUAUUACACCAACACUAACACAUAUUAUUACACCAACACCAACUCAGAUUAUUACACCAACACCAACUCAGAUUAUUACACCAACACCAACUCAGAUUAUUACACCAACACUAACACAUAUUAUUACACCAACACCAACUCAGAUUAUUACACCAACACCAACUCAGAUUAUUACACCAACACUAACACAGACUAUUCCACCAACACAUAUUAUUACACCAACACUAACACAGAUUAUUACACCAACACCAACACAUAUUAUUACACCAACACCAACUCAGAUUAUUACACCAACACCAACUCAGAUUAUUACACCAACACCAACUCAGAUUAUUACACCAACACUAACACAGACUAUUCCACCAACACAUAUUAUUACACCAACACUAACACAGAUUAUUACACCAACAAUUACACCAACACUAACACAUAUUAUUCCACCAACACUAACACAUAUUAUUACACCAACAUUAACACAGAUUAUUACACCAACAAUUACACCAACACUAACACAUAUUAUUACACCAACACCAACUCAGAUUAUUACACCAACACUAACACAGAUUAUUCCACCAACACUAACACAUAUUAUUACACCAACUCAGAUUAUUCCACCAACACUAACACAUAUUAUUCCACCAACAUUAACACAGAUUAUUACACCCACACUAACACUGACUAUUACACCAAGGUUGUGAAAGCAUUUUACACCAACAUUCUUUAGAAAUGUAACAUAAUCUAUUAAAAACACGUUUCACACCAUCCGUACACAAGGAUGUCCAAGCAACCAUUAGGAAAAACACACCACAACAAAUGACAGCCACUUUCAAAAGGCACACUGCACAUCAAACCCACCAACAUUAACACAGAUUAUUACACCCACACUAACACUGACUAUUACACCAAGGUUGUGAAAGCAUUUUACACCAACAUUCUUUAGAAAUGUAACAUAAUCUAUUAAAAACACGUUUCACACCAGCCGUACACAAGGACGUCCAAGCAACCAUUAGGAAAAACACACCACAACAAAUGACAGCAACUUUCAAAAGGCACACUGCACAUCAAACCCACCGGACAAUAGGCAAGACCCAGAGCACCAGCACUACACUGUUCAUAUUUAUCUGUAGCGUACAUGUUGGAUCUGUCAGCUAAAACUGCACUCCAUCAAAGAUUUCACCAACCCUACUUCUGUUUACUGCAUGGGCCAAGCUAACAAAAUAACUAUUAAACGCUCCUACUAAAAGAACCACACAGACACAUUACAAUGUACAGUACAAACAUUUUUCUUGAUUUUUUUUUUAUGAAAGUGUAAUUGCUACCAAGGUGGAAUUCGCAUCAGCCAUUCAAAAGGGGAUGCCACAGGAAUUAAAGGGAAUCAACGCCAACACUCUCACAGAAGGUUUAUCUGUAUUUGACCCAGCCUUUUUCUGACCAGCUCCACCCGACACCUAUCUUAAUAUAUAACCCAUUGGCUCUCCUUACUGGCGUCAUGCCAACCGUCAGGAAAAUGAAAAUGAACACAAGCAUUCGAUAGUCAUAUAAUAUUCCACAAGCCCUUCAUAAGCUACCUGACUAAAGUCGUACUACACAACUUCCUUAAAAGGUAAACACCAUCAUUUUCCUUGGAGUGAAAUUACACUACCUGGACCACCCUUUCUCAAUGAUAUCACUUUAUAAAUUACACAUAGCCUAGCAAAAAUAAUGCCACCAGAUAAUAAUAUUUAAUUAACAAUUGUGAAAGAACAGGCUUGAUACUGUUGUGCUAAUGGGGUCGUCUGCACAGUGGACUGUAGCUUGAGAGGCACUCUGACACACACACACACACGCCCAGGAACACACAGCAAGAAGCAGAGACUCACCUCACACCUAAUUUUACAAUUUGGGUCGUCAGGCCACACCACCUCACCACACACUCACACAGUUCCAAACCCACCGACACUACACACUAACACGAUUCCCAGUCCACCAUACACACACACACACACACACACCACUCUAGGAGCUAUGUGGCUGCUUUGCGAGGGGAAGGCAUUUUAUUCAUGUCCAUGAUGGGAUAUCUGGCGUGAGGAGCAUCCAUCCACCGCUGUCGUGGACGCAGGCUAGCUGCCUCUGGGUCUGGUGUGUUUAACAGCUUCAUGCCUGACAAGGCGAAACCUCAUAGCUGUGGUUUCACACAGGGGGCAUUCCCUGCUAGUACAGAGAGCCGAAGCUCUCUCUGACCUCCCCUCCAAAACACACACACACACUCACUCACUACACACAAAGUGUGUGUAUGUGUGUGUGUGAGAGAGAAAGACUUUAUAGAAAGCCUUAUGUAGAAAUUUGGCCUAGGUGACUGGUAACAGCAUAAAAUAGUAUAUGGGUUUUCUAGUUCUCAGUAUUCUUGCAUCCAUGUCACGGUAUUUAAAAGUAUUCAUCCAAUUCACAUGUUAGUUUAAUCCUAUGAGGCGAACAUAAAUGUAACUUCCUGUCUUGCUGCUAGAAAACAUAAAAUACUAGUCUAAAGUCAGAGAAAUGGGGCAAAUUAUUCCGGGCAAAAUUAUUAGGCCGUCAUGACGUGCGCCCUAGGCACCAACUUCCGCUUUUAAAGAUAUUGCCGCUUUCCCCCUUUUGCUUACACACACAGACACACAAGUUUGGAUUUUGAAGUUCAUGUCUGUAUGUGCUAAAUUUAGCUGAAUCUAUCCCGCCGCCGAUUCCAGCGCGGGACAGCAGUGUCGUCCGACGAAGAACUGGGAAACGGCGUGAAAGCCGCCUGCGGAGCGGAGAACGCCCCCCUGCUUUUGGAUCGCCUGACCCCGGCAUGACAUCACAUGUUCUGGACAAUGACCUUUACAUCAAUUAAGACAAAGCGCGGGUCACCGCCCCUCAAUAAUCACACACACAGCCAACCCUGCUCCGACACCUACCAAGAUGACGUGGGACUGAUCAAGAAUGAUAAAUAAUAAAAAAAAAAUAAGAAACCCACGUUGAAUGUUACAAUAAAAAAAAAAAUUAGUAAUAAGUCUUCCAUUAAGAACUCCUCAUAGUCCCUUGUAAACUGAUCUGUAUUAUAUAAAGUGAGGUGUGAGCAGUUAUACACGAGGAAGUGUCUUCGGUUGAACGUAAUUAAUGGAAACCCUUAAGGACACAGAGACAAGCCUGCUUAGGCCAGCAUCACGCAGCGAACCUCCGCAGCAAAAGUGCGAAACUCAAAGUAAUCAAAAAAAAGGAAAGGGGAAAAAAAAAGAAAGAAAACUUCACCCCUUCAACUGACACUGAAACGGCUACAACACCCUCACACACGCGCACGAACACGGUAACCUUCGACAUGCCUCGACUAAGAACCAUUUCCAAAUCAAUGAAAAAAAAAACUGCUUACUUCCCCUUCCCCAUUUGCCGAGGGAACGUGGAGGGGGCAGUUUAAUUUUCAGCACAACGUCUUCAACUAAAACUGCAGCAUUACAGUCAGCAUUUGGCCCUCACGAGUAACUCUCUUAGUAACUCACGAGUGUCAAGCCAUUCGAGAGGAGAGGUAAGGUACAGUGCUGCUUACGCUCAACUCUACCUCCUGUGUAUAGGCGCUCAUUCAUUUCCCUCAUAUAACGUUUCUGUCGCAACGUGAAUCGCUGUAGGUACAAGGCAGUGGCACAGAAAAGUGCCUCUGACGCACUCCGUUUGGACACAGCCAGACUGGCAAACAUUCCAAUAUUAGAUACAUAAAGUAAGAAUGUUGCAACAAUACGAUACACCAGAUUGUUACAUUGUGACGUGUACAGAGACUUUAUGUCAAAUGGAACGCUGCUGCAAACAUUAGCUAGAAAUCCAAAUCAGACAGAUCUGAACGGUACUCACUAACACGUCUUCCUUGAACAAAAAUAAAAAGCAGGGAAAAAACCGAAUAGGAGCAUUUUAUUGUUUAAAAAGUGUCUGUCUAACGCAGCUCCCACACAUGAAAUUAUUCUUAUUCUAUAUAUAGCCCACGAAAAGGGUGGCUAGACAAUCAGACAUUUCACCCCAGAAGACAUGUGUCCGUUUGAAUUUUGUGCUAACCACUGGCAGUUCACUUAAGUAAGAGAUGCACUUACCUCAAAAGUUUUUCAAUCUGAGAAGUCCAUGACAUUAAAAAAAUAUGCCGCAUUCGGUGAAAUCAUCAUUUUUUACUAUCAUCAUUUUGACAUUUCUGUCGAAUAAACGGAUCCAUCUGAUUGUCAUAUAAUUUCCAAAAUACUCAAAGUGAGUUUAAAGAAGGAAGAAAAACGCUUAAGAAGAGGUCCAGGUGGUUGGCUGUGAUGUGGUUGACAGGCUUGCAAGGCAGUGCAUUUCCGUGCACCAGUCGGCAAUCCCGCUCAAAUUGUACGUUAAAACAUGCCAAAAAAAAAAAAAAAAUUUACAACAAAUAGCUCAGCUACACUCACCAAGGUAUGAAGCAAUUUUCAGAAUUUUUAGGUAUUUUUAGUUUGAUCCUCUGAAUUGUUAUGAUUUUUCAAAAGAAAACAAAAAAUGCAAACACUUCUGUAUCGCAGUCCGAAGUAAGACACUCCUUUCCUCUAGCUAACGAUGCUAACAGUUAGCCAGCACACCAUCUAACGUCUCCAACAUAGAAUUUGCCGUCAUUCCUUCCUUUAUUUUGCACCUCUUCCUCUAGCCUCGAUCUCCUGAAAACGAUAUACAUUUUUUGCGAAAUUUUCCAACAACUAGAAAACAAGUCAGAAAUGAAAAAUAAACGGCAUUUCUGUAGUCAAUCUACACCGAAGCUUCCUUGCGUCUCGGAGCCGCUUUGCCCUGCUGCUGCCGCAAUCGCCGCUCACUCGAAAAUGGCGCCGAAAGCUCCACUCUUCAUUCAAAUUCGUUGGAGCCUUCCCCCUCCUCUGAUUGGCCAGAAUGGGACUGAGCCCCCGGUCUAAGAUUGGCUAACAGAAAUGCACUCUCAAACCGGGUAGCAACCCACGUACAGUAGCCCUACACGGAUAACGGAGAAAAAUUAACACUUGCAUCACCAUGGAUAAGUUUUCAUUUUUUAUUUCAAGAUAGUCCGACUAUGCAUUAUACGGUUACAAAGCUUAACUGAAGCUGGUCAAAAAUAGACAGACAGCACUGAAGCAGAGCUUUGUGUCUGAGUAUUUAAAUGUAUAGAUAUUGAGUCUUUUAUUGUAGAGAUGGGGAAAUGUUUGCCUUGUUGAAUCCUCUGACCAAGCAAGGUGGCGGUGUCAGUAAGAUGUUAUUGUUGAAAUGUCAGUCGUUGUCUGUUGGUAGUGGUAGGCUACUGUAGACUGCGCGCGCGCGUUUGUGUGUGUGUGUGUGCGUGUGCAUGUGUGUGUCUAUUUGAAUGUGUGUGCGCGCGUGCGCGUGCCUGGUGGUGUUCACCAGCGAUUUUCAAAAUAACCGCUGUAUUGGCUAUGCUUGCAAAAACAUUGCGAUUAACAGUAGCUGGGCGAUUUAAUUAACUGUUCCACUUAGUCUACUUUUGUGCUUUCGCAUGAAUUCUACCAUAAUUAUUUGAGUUGUAGGUAAGCCUACAGUCCAUCGCAUUUAAUUGACUGAAAGGAGAACAGUAGCCUAUUCCUACUGGCAUUGCGAACACUCGUCUUCAUACAACUACACACUUUUCAGACGCUGUUAAUAAGCCUACUUGGCUUAAAUAACAAAAACCUUCCAACGAUCAACGGGGGGACCUGGUUUUCAACGGCCGGUUGCAGUUCGCUGCUGCUGCCGCCACCGGUCUGCCACGGACGGUGCAGUGAGGGGACUGCACGAGCUGACUCGCUCACCCCACAAGCAGCGAGCGGAAUGAUUGGGAGAACUGAGAGACGUCGGGCUCCCGAUCGCACCCGCCCCAAUCCAAUUAUACUGACUCAAACGGUUCAGCGCCACAAACACACGACCACGCAGCUUCUCUAUCGAAACACUAACCGUCACGGUUGUAAUAAGAAACCUUGGAAGUAAGAAAGAAUAGCUAAAGCAAUACUUGUGCGCCUCUGCCAUUCACUGUUGAAUUCCGUCAGUGGCUUUAUACUGAGUGCGGGCAAGAGCACUAGCCUGUGAGUUUACAGGAGAGCAAGUAGCCUAAGUAGGAUUUAUUCAUAUAGAAACUCCAAAAUACAGGGAUGAUCUCUCUCUCUCUCUCUCUCUCUCUCUCUCUCUCUCUCUCUCUCUCUCUCUCUCGCUCUCUAUCUCUCUGUCACUAUCUCCUUCUCUCUCUCUCUCUCUCUCUCUCUCUCUCUCUCUCUCUCCCACGCUCUCUAUCUCUCUGUCACUCUCUCUGUCACUAUCUCCUUCUCGCUCUCUCUCUCUAUCACUCUUUGUCUCUUGCUCUCUCACUCUUGUAACUCCGUGACUAUCACAUAGGUAACACUAACAGAUGAUCUGAUUCUACCCUGGGUGGACAAGGCUGGCAGUGUGUGUGAGAGAGGGAGAGAGAGGAGAGAGAGAGAGAAAGAGCGAGUCUGUGUUCAAGUCACAAUCAUAACAUGACUACAGAAGACCUGGAAUAUAAACAGGGAAAAAUGACAGGAUAGAGUAGAUUCCAAAAUGAAUCUGGAUGCGAUUCUACCCGAUCAGAGCGAGAUCUUUCAUAGAGGGGACUGAUAAUGUGGGGCACCAAGCAUUUCACAUUCUUUCUCUUAAAGGUACAACGUGUAGUUUUUAGUGGCAUCUAGGGUUGAGGUUGCUGAAUUGCACCUACGGUGGUUGUCAAAUGCCAUAAAAAUGCAAAAAGCCGUAUCUUAAGCUAGUGUUUUGGUUUGUCCGUUUGACCUAUAAUGCAAGAAACACCGUUGAAGAAUACCAAAUAUGCAGUAAGAGACCUGCUGUCUGUGUGGUUAGCAAGGCCACUGACAGCUUUGCUACAAACAGAUUUCCCACAACGUCCUCAGAUUCAAUUUCAUGUUACUCACUUGAAAUGGACACACUUGGGCUCUACAACUAGGGAGCAAGAAGUGGCAACAGCAACCAGCCAGAAGUACAGCCAAACCCCCCCCUGUCUGCCACAGAAUAUCCAGGUUAUGGUGUGAGUGCUUUACAGUUCUCACUGAGCCUAUACAGCCUACUGAAUCAAUAGCAAUACCAGUUAAAUAGCAUAAUGACAUUAUAAUUACACGCUAUAUUACAUACUAUGUAUUGUGUACCAUAAUGGCAUAAAAUCAUCGCGUACAAUUUCGUAGAGGGAGGGAGAGAGACAGGCCACAGUGAUAGACAGACAGAUAGGCAGACAGACAGGGACAGACUUUACAUACACUGUGAGAGGAAAUGAACUUGAAUGGAACAGCUGUCCAUGUGGAGUAUCCCAUGCGUAGCAUCCAGGAGUAAGGUGCAUCAAACACGUGUCGUUUGGGAGAAGUGUGAAAGAUGCAGUAAGUAAAGUGUGUGUGUUGGCGUGUCUGCGUGUCUGUCUGUGUGUGUGUCUGUAUGUGUGUGUGUCUGUCUGUGUGUGUUGGCGUGUCUGUGUGUGUGUGUGUGUGUGUGUGUCUGUGUGUGUCUGUGUGUGUCUGUGUGUUUGUGUGUGUGGUAAGAGCAUUGUGAAGCCCUCCAACUAUCUUUUUAAAUAUGGGGAUGCACCUGACACUACCUUCUAGCUGUUCACCCCAUCUCCCAAACUUCCUCUGUGCUUUGCACAUCAUUGGAGUGCUCGCACCCAGGCAGCAAAGCAUGCUGGGAUAUGGCUGUCCUUGUAGUGUGCCACUUGGUGUCCCUUCCAGUCAAAUCAAGGGUUCAGAGGGGUUGUCCUACCAGCUGCAGUGUCUGGCAGUGGGUGUGCAGAAGGGAUUUCCCCAUGAACAAGUGGAAAGGCUGUAGGGUAAAACAGAGGCCUGUCAGCCCCCCCCCCCCCCACACACACACACACACACACUCUCCCUCGCAGUGGCCAAACCACAGGGACAACCUGCUGUUCUGGGAUUUGUUCUGACUCAAACAUACUCCAUACAUGCUAAAUGCUGUUCCAGUAUUUGUUCCGAAUCACACAUACUCCAUACAUGCUAAAUGCUGUUCCAGUAUUUGUUUUCCGAAUCACACAUACUCCAUACAUGCUGAAUGCUGUUCCAGUAUUUGGUCCGACUCACACAUACUCCAUACAUGCUAAAUGCUGUUCCAGUAUUUGGUCCGACUCACACGUACUCCAUACAUGCUAAAUGCUGUCAGAGGAGAUGGCGUUCUGCUCUGUCUUCAAGACUCAACUCUUCUGAAAUCACCUUCUUUCCUGACACACCUAACACCCUUAACACCCCUAACGCUCCCGUACUGGCUGUGCACUCCUCUCUGCUCUCUCUGGCACUGUGGUCAGAUUGAUCAGCAGUACUACUCUGUGUUUGCUCUCACCAGGCCUCCUAACUGUACUUACUGUAGUAGCUCGCUCACUUCGGAUAAAAGCGUCUGCCACACGAGUGAAUGUUACGUAAAUGCACAUGCAGACAUAAGCCAAACUGUGGUCGCAUACAAGUUUCACACAGGUGUCGUCUAAUCAUCCCUCUAUGAGAGGUCACCUGCACAGGCCUUUCCCUACAAAAUGCAAGAUGAUGCCAAGCCAGUCUGGAGCUCUGCAGCAUAGAGGUGGAGGGGAUCACGGUCUGGAGCUCUGCAGCAUAGAGGUAGAGGGGAUCACGGUCUGGACGCGAGCAAGGCCGGACUGUUUCAAAGCCUAAUGUUUAGGGUUCACCAAUCAGCAAUGAGGGUGAAGAGCCUCAAGCCUCAGACCCCUAGUAGGCCUAUUCAUUCCCCUUCCACAGAACCACUGCACCAGAGACACAUGCAGGGGAGAGGGGGGGUAAGACGAGCCACUAAGGGCGUCUGGGCAACCACACACAAUUUUGUCAUGAGAACCUAAAUUGACUUUGUGUUCUUCAUUUUCAUCUUGCUGUGGACAAAAAGAACCACGUGGAUGAGGUGGUAAGUAAGAACUGAGUGAUGUGCUACAAGCAAGCGGUUUUCUUUGAAGUGCUAGCUUGCCCACAAAGGAUUCCAUUGUACAACUGUUUUGUGGUUGCGGUUUUAGCGUUCUAACCAACAGAUUUCGAUCGUUAAUUGUCCUUAGAAAACUUUUGGACCCAAAAAUGUCCCAUGUCGAAAAGGCCUGAAGUUUACCUUUAAGUAAAAAAUGGCUCAUCUUAAAUAUGUGAUUGUUAGGUUAAAUUACAUAAAAUGGGAUUUAUUUAAAUUAUUAUUUAUUCAAUUAAAAUGUUUUCAGCUGCUUGGGCCAAACACACAAACCUGAUUCCCUGCACCUCUGAAGGCAUCUAAAAGAAUGCUCUGAAGAUUCUAAAAGAGUGCUCUAAAGAUUCUAAAAGAAUCAUCUGAUGGGGAUGGGUGAUUUUUUUUUCUGCAGAUUCACACUGAAGAGUACAUAGGGUUUUCCAUGGCUUCAGACAAGGCAUGACUGUAUGUUACACUACCCCUAAAUAUGUUCAAAUGAAUGCAUCAUUACAGUUCACUUAAUAUACUGCAAAAGAAGCAACUGUUUUACAGCGUGUCAUGUCAAAUGCUUACUCAGCAGAAGCCAUUGCUCCCUGUUAACCACUCGAAGCCCCGGUGGCUUCCUGACUACAGUCAUUCUCAAACUGAGAACUCAUUUUCCACUGUUAACACUACCAACCUGCUAAAGCUCUGGGAAGGUCAAACUAGUGUUUUGUGUUUAACUAGCUAAUGCCCAACUUACACCAGCCAGAACUGAAACUGAUCUUUAAAUCGUAAGCGCACUGUUAGUAAACGAUAAAACGUAUGUUUAUACGUGCAUGAACUAUAGAAAUCUCUGUAUAAGAUGAGAGGCCAAAAGGGACUGUGUUGAUGAGAGACACUAAAAUCAGGCUCAAUGCAAAAUCCCCACCCUGACUGAUUCUAUCUUUUUUGUAUUCAGUGGCCUUUGUCUUAGGCUUGUUUGAUACACAUGCACACAUACACAAGUCACCAUUCUUUCAGCACAGUGGUGCGGUCACAGCCUCUCGUCAUCAGUCCUGGAUCUUUUGGAGAGUUUGGUCCCAUGGUUGGACUGACUAGGACACCAUGUUAAGAGACCAGAGCCACACAGUGGAUCCAGAACUGGGUCAACCCUCUGUGACUUCAUGAGGAUAUGGGGAUUGGACUCUGGCCCCAUAUGACAUCUGAUUCAGGAAAGGAUUGGGUCACCUCUGGGCCCGGGUCCUGUGCUACACCCAGGCCAGACCAGGGCCAUCUCUGGGCCAGACCAGGGCCAUAUCUGGGCCCGGGUCCUGUGCUACACCCAGGCCAGACCAGGGCCAUCUCUGGGCCAGAUCAGGGCCAUCUCUGGGCCAGAUCAGGGCCAUCUCUAGGCCAGAUCAGGGCCAUCUCUGGGCCACGGUCCUGUGCUACACCCAGGCCAGAUCAGGGCAGCAGCUGUGCUAAAUCAGGGCCAUCUCUAGGCCAGAUCAGGGCCAUCUCUGGGCCACGAUCCUGUGCUACACCCAGGCCAGAUCAGGGCAGCAGCUGUGCUAAAUCAGGGCCAGAUGCUGUUGCGGUUACAUUUAACACUGAUUGACUGAUGACAGCAGUCAGUCCCUCAUCUUGUCUGUGUAUGUGUGUGUGUGUAUAUCUGUCUGUGUAUGUGUGUGUGUGUCAAUCUGGCUGUGUAUGUGUGUGUGUGCGAUCAUCCGGAUGGGCACAUUAGGGUAGGGUAGCAUCGCUGUUCACUUGUGGUGUGACCCAUGGAAAAGGCAUUAGUGCUGAUUUUUGCACUGAAUGAAACUUUUUGUGCAUUCAGUCAAGCAAAGCCUUUUUACUUGCUUUCCUUUAGUUGUAAAAAAAACCUCUUACACACUCUCACUCACACACACACACACACACACUCACACAAAGAGACACAAACACACGCAUAUAUACAUGUACGAAACUGUGUGGCGAAAGUGUAGACAGUUACAUUCAGUCUCACUUAGACUGGGUGCUGGUGUGGAUUUCUCAAUAUUAUAAAUUCAGUUUCACAAUAGGAAUCAAACUGCAUGAAAAAUGCUAUCUACUAAGAAUACGCACUACAUCAAUCUUGUUCUAUGUUCACCACAGUAAUUUACUAUUCAUUUAUAUGUCUUCUUAAAGAAGAUUGCAAUAUAUAUGUAUCUCUUCAGAGAGAGAAGGGGGUGAAAAGGAGAGAGAGAGCGAGAACGACAAGUCCAGACAAAUCCCGCCCAGCUUCUUAGAUCCCGCCCCUUUACAGCUCUUCUCAGGUGACGUAACCCUUUUCCAAAUAUAGCAUGUUGCUGAUGUACAGGCAGCCUGUCCAGUGGCAGAGGCAGCUGUCAGUCAGCUGACGUCAUGGGGUUUGGUGUUAUUAUUGUAAACAGCCUGCCAGCUUUCCACGAGCCGAGGCUAAGCACUCCUUUGUUCACGCGCUGAAGAGAUCAACAACAAAAGACAUAAGACACAAGCAGUUUCUCUCCCCUCUCUGCCACAGCAGAAAAUAACAAAACAAAUGAACUACACUAAGAGGUUGUUUCAUUGGAAGUCAAAACUUGUAUAGUCCAUUCAGAGUUUAGGCAUGUCGAUUGUUCACUCAGCACCGUCUCAUAGACCUCAACCGGCAACUCGCUUCUCCGCUCAGACUUGCAACAAACCGUCAAAUUUCACACUUUUAGCUGGACGGUAUAAAUAUCCAAUGACUUCAGUUAGCAUGUCAUUUUACAGAGUCCACCUAAUUUAUACGACACAUGGUUAAGAAUCAUCGAUUACCCAAUGAAAGCUUUCAACUGAACAGUCGGCAAAACGAUGUAAACAUCACUGCGACCCAAACAGGCUUCCUAGUGAAUGGAUAUACGACGAUAAUACUGCCCCAGUCAGAGACAAACGUCUUAAACACUUCAGAUGAAAUUAUUAAAAGGCGUCCCUUAAUUGCAUUAUUUGCAGGGGUGGACGCGAAUUUAAUGGAGAAAUGUUUUCUGUCAGCUUUAAAGAACUGCAUCCACAAACAAGUCGAACACAAACUCUGCUGUUCACAAUCAAGGUAUUUGCGUUGACGCUGUACAGUUUGAUGCGGAAGACUAGCCAACUCAUGUUUAUCGCGCACACAACCAGGGCAUCCCCGAUAAAUGGCCUUCAAAGGAAUUUGUAUUAUCACUUACCCAGGUGAAAUCCCCCGUCUUUUCAAAUGGACAGAGUCAUCACACGUUUGUUUUGGUCCCAAAUCGACUCGGACACCUCCCCCCCCCUUACUGUUGUUACAACAGUCGCUGUUGAGGAAGUUCUCUUUUUGUUCCAGUAUUUAUACGUAGCUUCAAUGUUGCGCGCACAGGAGGCGGAGCGGUGCCACUUCACGAGAGAAAUACAAAACGACCGAGCGCGCGACCCCGUACGGACUACACGGAACAAAAACUUUAAACAUCCAAUUCCAAAGACAAGAAAUCAAUUAUACAUAACAGCAACCUCACAGUCAACCGAUUUUUACGAGCAACACCCGUUUUCAAAGGAGAGGACAUGUCCGAGCGGGAUGCGCGCACCAUGAAGCCGUUCGGGACCCGGUAGACUAUGGAAACGCCACAGCACUUCAACUCUUACGAGCACUUACUACUCAUUAUGUGUAUAGACAUUGAGUGUGAUAAUGAACCAAGCACUCCUCAAGAAAGCUUUCUUAAAUUCGCAAACAGGUUUAAAAACAACAGAUUCAGAAGGGUUCGAGGUCUCAUAAUAGGUGUUUGGUUGUGUCAGAGCCGAGGUGAGGGCUUGUGGUUACAGUGGAGUUGCAUCAGGAAGUUGCUAUCGCAGGUCCUCUCAAACAGUCCAUCUUCAUCUCCAGUCACUCCUUAAAACACCAGCCUUAUCUAAUGGAGCGCGUCGUGCUGGAUAUCCCAUUUUCAGUUUCGUGACACUAACUGCACAGCUUUAUGCGCAAUAUAGUUAAAUGGUCUGUUGUUCGCUAUACGUGCUCUUCACUUGGCCAAAAGAGCUUGACACAAGCUGUAAAGGCUUUUCUUUUGUUUUAUUUAUCCGUUCGUUUCUUUAAAAAUAGCUGUCAGCUAUGCAGAUUUGUGAAGUGAGUAGACUAUCUUACGUUCAGGACUGUAAUUUAGACAUGAAAGAGAAAAUUCCAUUUAGAAACACAGUCAGAGCAGAGGAACCCUUUGUUGAUUUAGCGUGGAGCUCUGAGGAUCAUGACACUCCUCAUAAUCUAGUGUCAACGUUUCAACAGCCAAUAACCAGGGCCGUUUUUGAACGAGACGUCAAUUAUGCGUAACAGAAGUCGUGCCUUAAUAAACUCGGCGAGUGUGGCGUGAUGGAGACAAAACACUUUUCUCGGCUUCUUAGCAGACAGUUGGUGAUGGUCAUUUCGUAUAACGAAUCAGCAUGUCUGAUCUGGUUUGGCGUAUGGAGCUUUUUUUUUUUUUUUCAGAGCGCACCCGUCCGCCAGAGAAAGAGAGCCACCCUCUGUUCGCGCCGACGGAUUUGGACAUAGUGGUGUGUUUUAGCUAAUGGAAUAAAGUGAUGACUAAAAUAAAUGAAUUACCGUCGGCCAGUGGUGCAGCUGUGCCGCUAAACUUAGAUCCCAUUGAAAUGCUGAGAACAUCAACUUUAAAGCAAUAAAGUUGCGUGCACACACACACACACACACACACACAGAGAGAGAGAGAGAGAGAGAGAGAGAGAGAGAGAAAGAUAUAGAGAGGGGGAGAGGGA